AUUGCCCUAGUAACGGCGAGUGAAGCGGCAACAGCUCAAAUUUGAAAUCUGGCCUUCGGGUCCGAAUUGUAAUUUGUAGAGGAUGCUUUUGGUGAGGUACCUUCCGAGUUCCCUGGAACGGGACGCCAUAGAGGGUGAGAGCCCCGUCUGGUCGGAUACCGAUCCUCUGUAAAGCUCCUUCGACGAGUCGAGUAGUUUGGGAAUGCUGCUCUAAAUGGGAGGUAUAUGUCUUCUAAAGCUAAAUAUUGGCCAGAGACCGAUAGCGCACAAGUAGAGUGAUCGAAAGAUGAAAAGCACUUUGAAAAGAGAGUUAAAAAGUACGUGAAAUUGUUGAAAGGGAAGCGCUCAUGACCAGACUUGGGCUUGGUUGAUCAUCCAGGGUUCUCCCUGGUGCACUCUUCCAGCCCAGGCCAGCAUCAGUUCGCUGUGGGGGAUAAAGGCUUUGGGAAUGUGGCUCCUCCGGGAGUGUUAUAGCCCAUUGUGUAAUACCCUGUGGUGGACUGAGGUUCGCGCAUCUGCAAGGAUGCUGGCGUAAUGGUCAUCAGCGACCCGUCUUGAAACACGGACCAAGGAGUCGUCUUCGUAUGCGAGUGUUCGGGUGUUAAACCCCUACGCGUAAUGAAAGUGAACGCAGGUGAGAGCUUCGGCGCAUCAUCGACCGAUCCUGAUGUUCUCGGAUGGAUUUGAGUAAGAGCAUACGGGGCCGGACCCGAAAGAAGGUGAACUAUGCCUGUAUAGGGUGAAGCCAGAGGAAACUCUGGUGGAGGCUCGCAGCGGUUCUGACGUGCAAAUCGAUCGUCAAAUAUGGGCAUGGGGGCGAAAGACUAAU
rnacentral:rRNA from 1 species